GGGUUGUGAGGUUAAGCGACUAAGCGUACACGGUGGAUGCCCUGGCAGUCAGAGGCGAUGAAGGGCGUGCUAAUCUGCGAUAAGCGCCGGUAAGGUGAUAUGAACCGUUAUAACCGGCGAUACCCGAAUGGGGAAACCCAGUGUGAUUCGUCACACUAUCAUUAACUGAAUCCAUAGGUUAAUGAGGCGAACCGGGGGAACUGAAACAUCUAAGUACCCCGAGGAAAAGAAAUCAACCGAGAUUCCCCCAGUAGCGGCGAGCGAACGGGGAGGAGCCCAGAGCCUGAAUCAGCAUGUGUGUUAGUGGAAGCGUCUGGAAAGGCGCGCGAUACAGGGUGACAGCCCCGUACACAAAAGCGCAUGUGCUGUGAGCUCGAUGAGUAGGGCGGGACACGUGGUAUCCUGUCUGAAUAUGGGGGGACCAUCCUCCAAGGCUAAAUACUCCUGACUGACCGAUAGUGAACCAGUACCGUGAGGGAAAGGCGAAAAGAACCCCGGCGAGGGGAGUGAAAAAGAACCUGAAACCGUGUACGUACAAGCAGUGGGAGCACAGGUUUACCUGUGUGACUGCGUACCUUUUGUAUAAUGGGUCAGCGACUUAUAUUCUGUAGCAAGGUUAACCGUAUAGGGGAGCCGCAGGGAAACCGAGUCUUAAUUGGGCGUUAAGUUGCAGGGUAUAGACCCGAAACCCGGUGAUCUAGCCAUGGGCAGGUUGAAGGUUGGGUAACACUAACUGGAGGACCGAACCGACUAAUGUUGAAAAAUUAGCGGAUGACCUGUGGCUGGGGGUGAAAGGCCAAUCAAACCGGGAGAUAGCUGGUUCUCCCCGAAAGCUAUUUAGGUAGCGCCUCGUGAAUUCAUCUCCGGGGGUAGAGCACUGUUUCGGCUAGGGGGCCAUCCCGGCUUACCAACCCGAUGCAAACUGCGAAUACCGGAGAAUGUUAUCACGGGAGACACACGGCGGGUGCUAACGUCCGUCGUGAAGAGGGAAACAACCCAGACCGCCAGCUAAGGUCCCAAAGUCAUGGUUAAGUGGGAAACGAUGUGGGAAGGCCCAGACAGCCAGGAUGUUGGCUUAGAAGCAGCCAUCAUUUAAAGAAAGCGUAAUAGCUCACUGGUCGAGUCGGCCUGCGCGGAAGAUGUAACGGGGCUAAACCAUGCACCGAAGCUGCGGCAGCGACGCUGAUGCGUUGUUGGGUAGGGGAGCGUUCUGUAAGCCUGCGAAGGUGGCCUGUGAGGGUUGCUGGAGGUAUCAGAAGUGCGAAUGCUGACAUAAGUAACGAUAAAGCGGGUGAAAAGCCCGCUCGCCGGAAGACCAAGGGUUCCUGUCCAACGUUAAUCGGGGCAGGGUGAGUCGACCCCUAAGGCGAGGCCGAAAGGCGUAGUCGAUGGGAAACGGGUUAAUAUUCCCGUACUUGGUGUUACUGCGAAGGGGGGACGGAGAAGGCUAUGUUGGCCGGGCGACGGUUGUCCCGGUUUAAGCGUGUAGGUGUGUGUUCCAGGUAAAUCCGGUUCACUUUAACACUGAGGCGUGACGACGAGGCACUACGGUGCUGAAGCAACAAAUGCCCUGCUUCCAGGAAAAGCCUCUAAGCAUCAGGUAACAUCAAAUCGUACCCCAAACCGACACAGGUGGUCAGGUAGAGAAUACCAAGGCGCUUGAGAGAACUCGGGUGAAGGAACUAGGCAAAAUGGUGCCGUAACUUCGGGAGAAGGCACGCUGACACGUAGGUGAAGUGAUUUACUCAUGGAGCUGAAGUCAGUCGAAGAUACCAGCUGGCUGCAACUGUUUAUUAAAAACACAGCACUGUGCAAACACGAAAGUGGACGUAUACGGUGUGACGCCUGCCCGGUGCCGGAAGGUUAAUUGAUGGGGUCAGCGCAAGCGAAGCUCCUGAUCGAAGCCCCGGUAAACGGCGGCCGUAACUAUAACGGUCCUAAGGUAGCGAAAUUCCUUGUCGGGUAAGUUCCGACCUGCACGAAUGGCGUAAUGAUGGCCAGGCUGUCUCCACCCGAGACUCAGUGAAAUUGAACUCGCUGUGAAGAUGCAGUGUACCCGCGGCAAGACGGAAAGACCCCGUGAACCUUUACUAUAGCUUGACACUGAACAUUGAGCCUUGAUGUGUAGGAUAGGUGGGAGGCUUUGAAGUGUGGACGCCAGUCUGCAUGGAGCCGACCUUGAAAUACCACCCUUUAAUGUUUGAUGUUCUAACGUGGACCCGUUACCCGGGUUGCGGACAGUGUCUGGUGGGUAGUUUGACUGGGGCGGUCUCCUCCUAAAGAGUAACGGAGGAGCACGAAGGUUGGCUAAUCCUGGUCGGACAUCAGGAGGUUAGUGCAAUGGCAUAAGCCAGCUUGACUGCGAGCGUGACGGCGCGAGCAGGUGCGAAAGCAGGUCAUAGUGAUCCGGUGGUUCUGAAUGGAAGGGCCAUCGCUCAACGGAUAAAAGGUACUCCGGGGAUAACAGGCUGAUACCGCCCAAGAGUUCAUAUCGACGGCGGUGUUUGGCACCUCGAUGUCGGCUCAUCACAUCCUGGGGCUGAAGUAGGUCCCAAGGGUAUGGCUGUUCGCCAUUUAAAGUGGUACGCGAGCUGGGUUUAGAACGUCGUGAGACAGUUCGGUCCCUAUCUGCCGUGGGCGCUGGAGAACUGAGGGGGGCUGCUCCUAGUACGAGAGGACCGGAGUGGACGCAUCACUGGUGUUCGGGUUGUCAUGCCAAUGGCACUGCCCGGUAGCUAA
rnacentral:rRNA from 1 species